rnacentral:rRNA from 1 species
UACGAAGGGGGCUAGCGUUGUUCGGAUUUACUGGGCGUAAAGCGCAUGUAGGCGGCUUAUUAAGUCAGAUGUGAAAUCCCUUGGCUCAACUGAGGAACUGCAUCUGAUACUGGUAAGCUUGAGUGUCGGAGGGGAUGGUAGAAUUCCUGGUGUAGAGGUGAAAUUCGUAGAUAUCAGGAGGAAUACCUGUGGCGAAGGCGACCAUCUGGAAGACAACUGACGCUGAGAUGCGAAAGCGUGGGUAGCAAACAGG